GUCCUCUCAGGAUCACACCUGGAGAGUUUCCAGUACUCUACCAGUUUCCUCUAUGAGAGGGAGAGUCAAGCAGAGGCCUACCCAUUCCAUUCCUAGCUUGGCCAGUGGCUAGCGAGUGGCAAGCCAUCUGCUACAAGU